UACGUAGGGCGCAAGCGUUAUCCGGAAUUAUUGGGCGUAAAGAGCUCGUAGGCGGUUUGUCGCGUCUGCCGUGAAAGUCCGGGGCUCAACCCCGGACUUGCAGUGGGUACGGGCAGACUAGAGUGUGGUAGGGGAGACUGGAAUUCCUGGUGUAGCGGUGAAAUGCGCAGAUAUCAGGAGGAACACCGGUGGCGAAGGCGGUUCUCUGGGCAUUACCUGACGCUGAGGAGCGAAAGUGUGGGGAGCGAACAGG
rnacentral:rRNA from 1 species